rnacentral:SRP_RNA from 2 species
GCCAGGCAUGGUGGUGCAUGCCUGUAAUCCCAGCUACUUGGGAGGCUGAGGCAGGAGAAUCGCUUGAACCCAGGAGGUGGAGGUUGCAGUGAGCCGAGAUCACACCACUGCACUCUAGCCUGGGCGACAGAGUGAGACUCUGACUCAA